AUAACAAAGAAACAGAAGAAAAGCAAUAUGUCACCCGACAUUGUCGAUCGGGUGACAUAAUAAGAAAAAAAAGAAACGUAGAAUAACAAUACGUCACCCCAACUCCGUUGAGGGUGCCAUAAUAAGAAAAAAAGAAACGUAGAAUAACAAUACGUCACCCCAACUCCGUUGAGGGUGCCAUAAUAAGAACUGAGCAAAAACAAUAAGUCUCCAAACUUUGUUUGGGAGACUUAA
rnacentral:lncRNA from 1 species